rnacentral:rRNA from 1 species
ACGAACGCUGGCGGCGUGCCUAAUACAUGCCAGUCGAACGCUUCUUUCCUCCCGAGUGCUUGCACUCAAUUGGAAAGAGGAGUGGCGGACGGGUGAGUAACACGUGUGUAACCUACCCAUCAGAGGGGGAUAACACUUGGAAACAGGUGCUAAUACCGCAUAACAGUUUAUGCCGCAUGGCAUAAGAGUGAAAGGCGCUUUCGGGUGUCGCUGAUGGAUGGACCCGCGGUGCAUUAGCUAGUUGGUGAGGUAACGGCUCACCAAGGCCACGAUGCAUAGCCGACCUGAGAGAGUGAUCGGCCACACUGGAACUGAGACACGGCCCAGACUCCUACGGGAGGCAGCAGUAGGGAAUCUUCGGCAAUGGACGAAAGUCUGACCGAGCAACGCCGCGUGAGUGAAGAAGGUUUUCGGAUCGUAAAACUCUGUUGUUAGAGAAGAACAAGGACGUUAGUAACUGAACGUCCCCUGACGGUACCUAACCAGAAAGACACGGCUAACUACGUG